rnacentral:rRNA from 1 species
GAUGAACGCUGGCGGCGUGCCUAAUACAUGCAAGUCGAGCGAACGGACGAGAAGCUUGCUUCUCUGAUGUUAGCGGCGGACGGGUGAGUAACACGUGGAUAACCUACCUAUAAGACUGGGAUAACUUCGGGAAACCGGAGCUAAUACCGGAUAAUAUUUUGAACCGCAUGGUUCAAAAGUGAAAGACGGUCUUGCUGUCACUUAUAGAUGGAUCCGCGCUGCAUUAGCUAGUUGGUAAGGUAACGGCUUACCAAGGCAACGAUGCAUAGCCGACCUGAGAGGGUGCUCGCCCACACUGGAACUGAGACACGUUCCAGACUCCUACGGGAGGCCGCAGUAGGGAAUCUUCCGCAAUGGGCGAAAGCCUGACGGAGCAACGCCGCGUGAGUGAUGAAGGUCUUCGGAUCGUAAAACUCUGUUAUUAGGGAAGAACAUAUGUGUAAGUAACUGUGCACAUCUUGACGGUACCUAAUCAGAAAGCCACGGCUAACUACGUG